rnacentral:rRNA from 1 species
UGCCAGCCGCCGCGGUAAUACGGAGGGGGUUACCGUUGUUCGGAAUUACUGGGCGUAAAGCGCACGUAGGCGGAUUAGAAAGUUGGGGGUGAAAUCCCAGGGCUCAACCCUGGAACUGCCUCCAAAACUUCUAGUCUAGAGUUCGAGAGAGGUGAGUGGAAUUCCGAGUGUAGAGGUGAAAUUCGUAGAUAUUUGGAAGAACACCAGUGGCGAAGGCGACUGUCUGGCACAUUUCUGACGCUGAGGAGCGAAAGCGUGGGGAGCAAACAGGAUUAGAUA